rnacentral:lncRNA from 1 species
UUUGAACUCGACUACAACAGGACUCGUAAAUAAUGAAAAAGUGAGAGUGUGAUGAAUAGGAGAUGAUAUCGCGUGUUAUGGUUUUAUGAACCAGUUUCCCCUUGUCCUUAUUAAAAAACUUGUCCUCAAUUAGGUAAAAACGUGGAUAUUUAUGUCCGGAUUUGAAACCAAAAAACAAUUCAAGGAAACCAAUGGCCAAAUCAAAAGGAAUGUAUUUGACAUUCAAAAGUUGAAAGGGCUUCACGAGUUUGGAUGAUUUUGUUCAUUUAGCGCGAAUUUGAAAUAAACUUUUCGUAGAAGAACC